rnacentral:SRP_RNA from 1 species
AGCGACAUCACUAGUGUAGUGUUUCAUCGUGCUCCCCAACAAUUAUGACAUAUGAACUUUGUGGGCCUAGUUCUGUUGUGCUUCUGUUGGCCCCACCCAUUCCAAGUUCUGUAGCAGACCGUCUGGGCCCCAUGCGAAACCUAGGCCUCACGGACUCACGGUCCACAAUGUGGCAGGCAGAUCGAGAGGCUAACUUCACAGAGCAGCUACAACUGCCCGCUUCCAACGGUAGAAGGAUAACAGGACUAUGCAAACCUGGCCCGCUUGGGCCCCAUGGCCUACUCCAAUGAACAAAUUUUUUA